rnacentral:rRNA from 1 species
AAAAUCCGCCGGGCUUAGAUGAGGGGUGAUAACGAGGGUGCUUGCACCCGAAGUGAGUGAUACCCUGCUUCCAGGAAAAGCCACUAAGCUUCAGCUACACACGACCGUACCGCAAACCGACACUGGUGCGCGAGAUGAGUAUUCUAAGGCGCUUGAGAGAACUCAGGAGAAGGAACUCGGCAAAUUGACACCGUAACUUCGGAAGAAGGUGUGCCUUUAGUAGGUGAACCAUUUACUUGGGGAGCCCAAUGAGGUUGCAAAAAAUCGGUGGCUGCGACUGUUUAAUAAAAACACAGCACUCUGCAAACACGAAAGUGGACGUAUAGGGUGUGACGCCUGCCCGGUGCUGGAAGAUUAAAUGAUGGGGUGCAAGCUCUUGAUUGAAGUCCCAGUAAACGGCGGCCGUAACAAUAACGGUCCUAAGGUAGCGAAAUUCCUUGUCGGGUAAGUUCCGACCUGCACGAAUGGCGUAACGAUGGCCACACUGUCUCCUCCUGAGACUCAGCGAAGUUGAAAUGUUUGUGAUGAUGCAAUCUCCCCGCGGAAAGACGGAAAGACCCCAUGAACCUUUACUGUAGCUUUGUAUUGGACUUUGAACAGAUCUGUGUAGGAUAGGUGGGAGGCUUUGAAGCAGGGUCGCUAGAUCUUGUGGAGCCAACGUUGAAAUACCACCCUGGUGUGUUUGAGGUUCUAACCUAGGCCCGUUAUCCGGGUCGGGGACAGUGCAUGGUAGGCAGUUUGACUGGGGCGGUCUCCUCCCAAAGCGUAACGGAGGAGUUCGAAGGUACGCUAGGUACGGUCGGACAUCGUGCUAAUAGUGCAAUGGCAUAAGCGUGCUUAACUGCGAGACUGACAAGUCGAGCAGAUGCGAAAGCAGGACAUAGUGAUCCGGUGGUUCUGUAUGGAAGGGCCAUCGCUCAACGGAUAAAAGGUACUCUGGGGAUAACAGGCUGAUACCGCCCAAGAGUUCAUAUCGACGGCGGUGUUUGGCACCUCGAUGUCGGCUCAUCUCAUCCUGGGGCUGUAGCCGGUCCCAAGGGUAUGGCUGUUCGCCAUUUAAAGAGGUACGUGAGCUGGGUUUAAAACGUCGUGAGACAGUUUGGUCCCUAUCUUCCGUGGGCGCUGCAGAUUUGAGGAAGCCUGCUCCUAGUACGAGAGGACCGGAGUGGACACACCUCUGGUGUAUCGGUUGUCACGCCAGUGGCAUUGCCGAGUAGCUAAGUGUGGAAGAGAUAACCGCUGAAAGCAUCUAAGCGGGAAACUCGUUUCAAGAUGAGAUCUGCCGGGGCCUUGAGCCCCCUAAAGAGUC